rnacentral:rRNA from 1 species
UACGUAGGGGGCUAGCGUUGUCCGGAAUCAUUGGGCGUAAAGCGCGCGUAGGCGGCCAGAUAAGUCCGGUGUGAAAGUCACAGGCUCAACCUGUGAAUGCCGCUGGAAACUGUCUGGCUUGAGUCCGGAAGGGGCGAGUGGAAUUCCUGGUGUAGCGGUGAAAUGCGCAGAUAUCAGGAGGAACACCGGUGGCGAAGGCGGUUCUCUGGGCAUUACCUGACGCUGAGGAGCGAAAGCAUGGGGAGCGAACAGG